CCUGCUCUCAACUACAACAUUGUUUCAGGCCCUCCAAGCCACAAAAUUGUGGUGAACGGAAAAGAAUGUAUAAACUUCGCCUCAUUUAAUUUUCUUGGAUUGUUGGAUAACCCUAGGGUUAAGGCAGCAGCUUUAGCAUCUCUAAAGAAGUAUGGCGUGGGGACUUGUGGACCCAGAGGAUUUUAUGGCACAUUUGGUAAGUUUUUGUUGUGUUCUCUUUGCGACUACUGCUUUCAGUAGUUAAGUCAAUUUUAGGCCGGGCAUGGUGGCUCACACCUGUACUCCCAGCACUUUGGGGAGGCUGAGGUGGGAGGAUUGCUUGAGCCCAGGAAUUUGAGACCAGCAUGGGCAAUAUAG
rnacentral:sRNA from 1 species